rnacentral:lncRNA from 1 species
AAUAGUCCAUCUAUUAAACCAAAUUAAUUAAUGUUAUAGACUCAUAUACGUUAGUGUUGCUUAUUAGAUGUUAAUACAAUUUAGUGUUAGUAAUUGUGUAUUAAUAUUGGUAAAUGACCAUAUAUAAAAGCACAAUUAAUGUGCAAGAGGUUUAUUUUGGUUCAUCAUAAAUAUAGGUUGUUAUUAUACACAAAGAAUUAAAUAACAAUACUUGUUAAUCUUUGUUUUUGGAAAAUACAAUGCAUUUGCGCAAAUAUAAAAUUAUUUAGUUUUAAUUUAAAGCACAUCUCACUUAUUACUAACUACUUCUCAUUAAUACCCAUUUUAAUUCUCUUAUUUUAAACUAUUAUUUUUAUAAUCAGUCGAUUUAUAAUGAAUUAAGUAUAUUUAUGACUAUUCUUGAAAAAAACAAAGGUAAAAUCAGGCGAAUUCUCAAAAUGUCUUUUUGAUUAUUUCUUAAUGUUUGGCUAUUCACACUCACUUGAGUCGAACUCAAUCACUCUUUGAGUUUGAAGGAUCAUUCGUUAUUCACUCUCUUGCUAGUACUUGCGUUGUUGUGUCACUCAUCUCAAUUCAACAUAAAAAUCAGAUGAUUAAUCAUCUAUUUCCCGGAGAAAUCAAAGAAUUUCUUAAAAAUCUUACAAGAUCAUAAAAUAAAGAAAUAUCACUAUAUAUAAAAGGCAUCUCGGUAUCCGAAAGUUCCCAUUAUGUACAAGGUUCAGGCAAAAGUUGAACCACAAGAGUUUAUUGUAUGUAAUCGUACUCCACAUUUCUACAAGAAGACUUUUUCACGACUUAAAUAUCAUUAUCUGUAGACGUUUGAUUAUGAGAAUUUUUACUUUUUUCGAAAAAUUAUUUCACUUUAGUGAAAAUUUCACUCCUAUUUUUCUUACAAAUUUUCAAAAACAACUUCAAUUUAUAUUCAUGGCUAAAUACAAAAUUAAUCUCAAGUCAAACUUUAACCCCAACUCAAAAAAAAUAUUAUCUUUAUGACGAAACAUGACUUAUAUACUUUCUCCGUCCUAAAUUAUCCUUCCAAAUUGAGAUGAUAUAUUAAUUAAAAAAAUAAUUAAUAACAUGACUAGUUUAUCAUAGUAUCACUAUUAAACGAUGUUUACUUUUUAAUUUGAAGAAAAAAUAAUUAAUGCAAAGUGUAAAAUAUGAUUUUUUUUUUAUCUCUUUUUAAUUAAUUAGAAAAAAAAAUUAAAUUAGAAAAUUUGGGAAGGAGGGAGGGAGUAUAAACAGAAAAAUAAAAGAAAAGACGGGAAAGGAAAGGAAAUAGAAAUUAGGAAAAUCAAAUCAAUGUCCCAUUUAUAAUUUCCCAUUUAUACAUAACAGCAUUAUAGUAGUAUAGUAUAAUAUUUUUCAUUUUAUUCCAAAAUCCAAAUCAAAUACUAGUAGUAUGUAGUAUAUAUAUAUAUAUAUAAGUUAAAAAAAAUAUAGUUGUGCGUGUGAGGUGCGCUGUCGUUGCUAUUUUCCUUUACACCUUCUUUUUCGCCCUUUCCCUCUCUGUCUUCAACAUUCGACAGCUCCUCUCCUUCUUCCCCUCUCUCUCUCUAGAAAAUUCACUCAACAUUUCUCUCUCUCUCUACAUAUCUCAGAUCUGAUCAGGUUCGUUCUCCUAUUCAUUCUAUUUAGAUCUGAUCAAUUUGUAUGUUUUUCGUUUCAUUUUUUGUUAAUUCGUUUUUCGGAUCUGUAAUUUCAGCUAAUAUAUGAUUGCCGCUGAUUUGUUCAUUUUCGUGAUUUGAUAAAAAAAAAGUAAAUAUAUUUAGUUCAUUUGUUGCUUUUUUCUGUAAUUCAGAUUAUUUAUAGAUUUUAUGAUUUUCGUUAAUUGAAUGUUAUAGAAAUGAAGUGAAUUUCAUUUUUAUAUAUAUAUAUAUUAAUUUAAAAAAAAAGUGAAUAUAUUUAGUUCAUUUGUUAACUUUCCUGUAAUUCUGGUUAUUUAUAGUUUUUUUACGAUUUUCGUGAUUUGAAUUGUUUUAGCAAUGAAGUGAAUUUUUGUUGGCGAUUGAAAAAAAUAUAUAUAUGUAUAUAUUCGUUGUUGGAUAAUAGAACAUUUUAUAUGGUUGAUCCUUAACUAAUUUGAGCUAUUAGUUGAUUUGUUGAGAUCGGUUCAGCUCACAUUUGUUCAUUUUUGUGUAAUUCAGAUUUCGUGAUUUGAAUUGUUUUAGAAAUGAAGUGAAUUUUUUGGGCGAUUGAAAAAAAUUGAAAUAUAUGUAUAUUUAGUUCAAUGGAAUUCUGGGUUUACGCUGCGUUGGAUUUUUGAAAUCGUUGUGAUUUUUGAUUCGUUGUUGGAUAGUAGAGCAUUUUAUAUGGUUGAUCGUUUACUAAAUUGAGCUUAGUUGAUUUGUUGAGAUUGGUUCAGCUCACAUUUGUUCCCUUUUCUGUAAUUCAGAUUAUUUAUAGAUUUUAUGAUUUUUGUGAUUUGAUUUGUUAUAGAAAUGAAGUGAAUUUUUGUUGGCGAUUGACAAAAAAAAUAUUUAUAUAUAUUUAGUUCAAUGGAAUUCUGGGUUUACGCUGCUUUGGAUUUUUGAAAUCUUUGCAAUUAUGGCUAAUUAGAUCCUUAACAAAUUUGAGCUAUUAGUUGAUGAUGUGUUGAGAUUGGUUCAGCUCACAUUUGUUCCUUUUUCUGUAAUUCAGAUUAUUUUCCGUGUUUUGAAUUGUUGUAGAAAUGAAGUGAAUUUUUGUUGGCGAUUGAAAAAAAUAUAUAUGUGUAUAUUGAGUUCAAUGGAAGUGUGGGUUUACGCUGCUUUGGAUUUUUGAAAUCGUUGCGAUUGUUGAUUCGUUGUUGGCGGCUAAUAGAACAUUUUAUGUGGUUGAUGCUUAACGAAUUUGAGCUAUUACUUUAUAUGUUGAGAUUGGUUCAGCUCAUGUUUGUUCAUUUUUGUGUCAUUCAGAUCAUAUUUGUGGAUUUUACGAUUUUUGUGAUUUGAAUUGUUGUAGAAAUGAAGUAAUUUUUUGUUGGCGAUUGAAAAAAAAUUACAUAUAUAUAUUUAGUUCAAUGGAAUUCUGGGUUCAUGCUGCUUUGGAUUUUUGAAAUCAUUGCGAUUGUAGAUUUGUUGUUGGAUAAGUUGAGCUAUUAGUUGAUGUGUUGAGAUUGGUUCAGUUCACAUUUGUUCCUUUUUCUGUAAUUCAGAUCAUAUUUGUUCCCUAUGAUCUACGGUUGUCGUGAUUUGAAUGGUUUUGGAAAUGAAGUGUGGAACUUUGUUGGCGCUUGAAUUAUGAGUUUAUGCUUGUUGAGUGAUUUGCUUAUGAUUUUUCCACAAUAUUUUUGGUAUUGUUUCGAUUGUAAAUUUGUUGUAGACAAAGAACGUUUUAUAUAGUUGAUCCCUAUCUAAUUUGAGAUUGAGGAGUAGUUGAUUAAUUGAUUGAUACUGAAAUAAUCAUUAAGGGUUCAUUUGGUUCGUUUGGUUAUGAUGGAAAGUGAAAGCAUUGAUGUUGUUUGGUGGUAGGAUAAAGAGGGUGCUGGGAUAUAAUUAAGUUUAUUCUGUUUCCGCAGACAUCACUUGAGGGGUGCCUAAUUUACAGAGUGUCUGGCUGCUAAACAUACAAUAUCGAAAUGAAGAAAGCAUUUGAUCAAACCGUGCGGGACCUGUAAGUUUUAUAAUUUCAAUCCUACAUUUCCAAAUAACAGGCAUUGCGAUAGUCUUUGACUUGCUGUGUUGCUCGGCUCCUCGAAAAUGCUGCACCAUCUGUGUCGGGUCCUCCAAAAAUGCAUAGUUUCUGGAGGAUCCAAUAUGCACCAGGCUGUAUUUUGAAGAGUUCAUGCAAUAUAGUUAAUUUGUUCUCUUUGGAUCUUUUGUUUAUUUAAAAUUUCCUUGCAGUAAGAGAGGGGUGAAUAAAAAGGUUCUUAAGGUCCCUUCAAUAGAACAAAAAGUAAGUUCUAUUUGCUCAUCUCUUUCUUAUUUUUCUGUCCUUUUUGUCAGUGCAAUGCAUUUCAUAUUCCUGCAGUGCCAUAAUAUGUUGUUUUAACCAAAAAGUCAAAGACUUUAUUUAACUUAGGUCAAUAUAUGACAGGGAUAGACCUACGUCAUCAUAAUCCCACUUUUGAAACGCCUUGAUAUACGUGUACUGUAGUGUAAUACACGUUGGUUAACAUUGCUUAAAAAUUAAAAAUACUUCAAAUCUUGUGUAAGGGUCAGGGUUGCUAGUAACUUCUUUGAAGGCAAAGAGUGCAAAACCGACGUGUCGAAGAAGUGCAUUUUAGUUCUGAUCCUUUGAGAAAUUUUUGUAGUAGAGUUGUUUGGAAAGCAACAUCAUAAGCGUCUCAAAAUAUAAAAGAAGAAUUCAUGGUGAAUAACUGCUAAAAAGAGAUGGUCAAAUCCUUUAUAUCAAUGAGACGUUCCAAGGUGAAGAACUAAUAUAGAUAUUAGAUAGUCGUAUUGGCCUCUUACACAGUUAGACUUUGAGUUCGCUUUAUUGAUUCAUGGAAUAGAGGUUCUCUAAUCUUUGGCUUUGAAAGAGAAUGUAAGUUAUUUUGAGGAAAAACUGCAUUCUCCUUGGAUGUUCCAAUCAUCAAUGAGUUUUAACGUCCACGUGAGACACACUUAUAUUUGCUGAGAAGGCAUGUUGCCUGGAGCAGAGUGUCAUACCUUGAUGCAAGUAGAGCAUAUUACUUUUGAAAUCCUUGUUCUAAUUCCACAUCAAAUAUACCUAGUCACCUUAGCUAGCCUUUCUUGUGAGACGAUUCUAUUUUAUGCCACUUUAAGUAUGUGAAUAGCUUUAACAGUGUUGAAACCACGAGUUCUUGCUCUCUUUUUUCCAAAAGUAGAAAAGAUAUGGCAGUAGCAAAUCUAUUUUGAGUUCAUCGAAUACAUAUUGAUAUAAAGUUACCAGUUUCAAGCGAAAAAACUGAUAUAACGAUGAGAUAUAAGCAGAAGUAAAAGACCUUUUCAUAAUUUGAAUCUUCUGCAAUAUUUGAUUCUUCCUUGUAGUUCCAGCAUAGGUAGCCGUUCUGGUUUGUGGUUGUCUUUAAGUUGUUUUUCUGUGGUUGGGUUUCUUAGCUUGUGAUUUGUACUGUUAUCCUACUGCUGCCCCAAGCCCCCUGACAAGCCUAAUUGCAUGCACAAGUUUCAUUUGCUUGCUGCUGAAUAAGUGCUCAAAGUUGAUACAUGAAAAUCUCACUUCUCAUCUCUCUUUGAUGGACUGCGUUUUCAAAUUUUUGGUGUCUAAUAUGUUGUCUGUUGGAAGGUGAAGUUUUCAAAUGUGUAGAAGUUGAAGAUACCAUUUCCAAUGAUUUGAUUAUAUUUCUUUUUGUUUCUCUGAAGGUUCUAGAUGCGACUAGCAAUGAGCCCUGGGGUCCUCAUGGAUCACUUCUUGCAGAUAUUGCUCAGGCUUCAAGAAACUAGUAAGCAUAACUCAUUUUAGUUGUGAUAAAAGGGCAUCCGAUAUACUUAGCUCCCUCUAUCCACGUGGUUGGAGAAAAUUCUCUCUCUCUCUAUAUAUAUAUAUAUAUAUGUAUGUAUGUAUGUAUGUAUGUAUUUAUUUACUUACUAUCUGUAUGUGAGAUUCAUUUGUUGAAAUUUUGCAGUCACGAGUACCAAAUGAUUAUGUCUGUGAUCUGGAAGCGCAUCAAUGAUACUGGAAAAAAUUGGCGUCAUGUUUACAAGGUUUGUUUUUGUUGAAUUUGUUUGCUCUGUCUAGCUAAGUUUCCACUUCUUAUGUCUGAUCAUAUUUCCUGAAUCUGACACUGUUCAAUGUUACCACUGUCCUCUUUGUAGGAAAAAGAUAUAUACAACAUGAUUGCUUGCUUUCAUGCAUUUUAAUGAAUACUAGAUGAAAAAGUGCCUCACUAAAAAUCCUAUAUCUAAUGUCUGACUAUGAGUUUCAGGGUUUAACUGUGUUGGAAUAUAUGGUAGCCCAUGGGUCUGAACGUGUCAUAGAUGAUAUACGGGAACGUGCUUACCAAAUAUCUGUAAGUUUUUUCAUGCUCGUUAAAUUUGUUAGUCUUAUGGGAUAUUAUGUCAACUUGUGGAAUCUGGGAAAAUAAUGAAGUACUGUCUUCAUCUUCUCUUUGCCCAGACACUGUCUGAUUUUCAAUAUAUCGACUCCAGUGGGAGAGACCAGGGAUGCAAUGUCAGAAAGAAAUCUCAGAGCCUUGUGGUUCUUGUUAAUGAUAAGGAGAGAAUUCAGGAAGUUCGCCAAAAGGCAGCUUCUAAUAGGGACAAGUAAGUAUAACUCAGUCCAGUUGGUUCUCUACAGAAAUACUGCUUCAGUCAUAUUAAGCUCUUCUGCAUCCAGUCAUGUAUAUAGUUCUUCCACAACUAUGAAUUUUAGACUUCACAUUUCUCGCUCCCCCCCCCUCCCUCUUCCAUGUGGUGUAUUCAAAUGGCUGCUUGAGAUGCUCCUAAGAUUUGCACCUGAGGUGCAGCUCAGGCUAGGAGCACGGGACAACAAAAACCUUUCUUCGUUUAAAGGGCAUCAAUAAUAGAUAUUGCCGUCAAAAUUAUAUGUUAAUUCACAUACACAUAUCAUUGUUGUUUGUGUUUAAAUUUGUCUCUUGUAUAAAAUUCUUUUCUUCUUUUUUCUGCUAGGGUGAGUGCUUUCAUUGCAUUUUUCUGCAUAAAUCCCCUACAACCAAAGGUGCCUUUACGGUCUUUUCGCCUUUGACCAACCGCACCCCUCCCCCGAACAAAAAAAUUUCUAAAAAGUACUAAGGAGUUGUACUUCAGCCCCUUUAUAAGUAUUCUUUUCGUAAGACUACAUCUUACUUUAUUUGCUAGCAUAUAUCUUUAUAUUCUCUCCCUAGUUUGUUUCUGUACUUCAAAUUACUGGCACCGGUACCAAUGUUUUCCUUAGUUCAAAUGAGAUUGUCACCACAUAAAACAGUGCACACUUCCCAUGGUGUCUUCAAUUCAAACUUACAUACAUUACUAACAUAAGAUUUUCUCAAUCUUCUAUAUUUGAGACGAAACAUCUGUCUAGUGUCUACAUGCUGUGUUUGCUCAAUAUUCCUGAAUGACUAAUUCAAUUGAGCCAUUAUCCGAAAAAUAAGAUUCUUUUCACAUGCUACUUGUGCAUCCAGUAUCUGUACCCAAUAUAUGUCUUUAUGUUAUGUCCUGUUUAUAUAAGUAAUUUUGUCUUCAGAUGUACCUAUUGGAAGUUCGCUGGUCCCUUAAUUUGCUUUGGAAAGUGAGCUGAAUGAUAAUUUUGACUUUAAUAAGUCUUGCCAGUACUAGGCUAGCGUUUGGCCAUAGAUUCCCAAAUUUUUUUGGCAAGUCAUUUUUUACUGAAGUUCUACCAUGUGUUUGGCCAUAGUAUUAGGAAAAAAUAUCACUUUUUUAAGAAAUGUGAUAUAUACCCAUAAGUCCUAAAAACUAUUAGAAGUACUCGUAAGUUUGUAUUAUCAUUUUAUAAUAAACGUAUUUGUAUUAUAAUUUUAUACCGAACAUAUUCCGUGAUAAAAUUUAACCCAUAGAUUAUAAGGACUUCUCCGGAGGUAGUGGUAUGGACUGCGUACAUCUUAUCCUCCCCAUACCUCACUAUGUGGGAAUAAACUGGGUUUGUUGUUGUUGUUGUUGUUGUCAUAGAUUAUAAGGACUUGAUCUUCAAUUCCGGCAAUUGGUAAUGUGUAAUGCACAAAUGAAAGGGUCCUCCAAUAUACAAAGCACCCUUUAAUAGAGAAAAAGGGGGAGUAUUCCAGAAUUAUUUGGAGCAGACAAUGUUAAGGCCAUAUUGAUUAUUGGUUUCAUAGGGACAUUAAAAGGAGUAACCAUGAGAUCGGACCACAUGAAGAUGGGAUUAAUAAAUAGUGGGGUGUUUUUAUAAAAUUUAAAAGUUUGGGAUAACUUUUAAAGUUGUAAAAAUAUCCAAAAAGUAGAUUUUGGCUCAAAAACUAGUUUUUUUCUAGUUUUUGGGAUCUUGGGGUUUUGCCAAAAAAUGUCAACUUGCUUGGCCAAACAUUUUUUGCCAAGUUUUUUCCCAAAAAUUACUUGAUCUUUUUGUGGCCAAAUGGGUCCUAGAAUUUGCCUAUCAGAUAUCAGCAGCAUCAAUAUUUCAGAAAUGCAUGUUUUACAAGCUUCAUCUUUUAUUAAGGGAUGACAAGAAUUUAUGAUAUUUCUGAAAGAGAAUUAGAAUCAGCUUGUUGAAAAGCUCAAGUUCUAGCUAUCUGGAUUAAUGGACAUGACAAUAUGAUUAUGUAAUUUCUUGUGAAAGGAAUUAAUUUCUUGUAAAUUUAGUAAGAUUAAGAAAAAUUAGCUAUACCAAUGACUGUUCUGAAGCUAUAUAUAUGAUUAUGUUCUGAUGACAACUGUAGCCAUUUCAUUCCUAAGUUAAUUGGCGUACUGUUUACAAUGGUAAUGUGUUCUGAAAAUUUUUAUCAUCUUGAUAGAUUCCGCAACACAUCAGCUGGCGGUAUGUAUCGUCCAGGAGGAUAUGGUGACAGAUUUGAUGAGGAUCGUUAUGGAGGCAGAGAUGAAGAAAGAAAUGGGUAUGGGAGAGAAAGGGAAUGGGGCUACAGAGAUGAGGACAGAUAUGGCAGAUAUGGAGACUCCAACAGCCGUGAUGGGGAUCGCUAUGGUAGAGAUUAUGAUGAGCACAGCCGAGAUGGACAUAAGGAUGAUGAUUAUCGUGGAAGAAGUCGAAGUGUUGAUGAUUAUAGUUAUGGAUCAAGAAGUAGAAGUUCUGACCGGUACAGGGAGCAAACCAAUGAUGAUGAUGGUCAAUAUUCUUCUAGGUUUGUCUUCUCACCUUUUUUGUUUAAAUAAGGGCAAGAUUUUGGUAAUUUGUUACUAGCUAGACGAUUCUGAGAAUGAAUAGGAUUCUGCAGACUAGGGUAUUUUCUUUUGCUGUUACUCUGAAAUUGAUGUGCAUUAUUUCGGCACAUUUAUUAAAGCUCUGAUCCUUGCCCGUAAUGCAUUACUUUGAUCUUCAUGACCAACAAAGGAAUUGAUGCAAGGGCUGAGGCUUGCUCUCAAGAUGGAUGGUGUUAUUAGUGUGCCCAAUUAGUUAUAUAUUUUUUCAUUAAAUAUUGUUUUAAUUAGGCAAUGGUCAAAUGGUCUUAUUUAUUUGACAAGAUUUACAUUUGCGAUUUAACUGUUGUGAGUAGGCCGCUUGAAAGGAGGUUUUCAGAACAAAACCUUAGUGCACCUCCUAGUUAUGAGGAAGCUGUUGGUGGUUCACGCAGCCCAACACAUAGUGAAAGGUAAUAGUUGUGAAGAAGGAUCCUUUAUUUUCUCAUUUGUUUCGUUGAAAUGUUUAUAUUGAUCUUUAUUAUCCUAUGUCAAAAGGGAUGUAGAAACUUCUUCCGCAUCUGCACCCAAAUCUUCUUCACCUCAUGCAAGUGCCAGUCCAGGCCCAGCUACUAUGGCCGCUUCCGCACCAGCUACUGAUCCACCACCAGCUCCAGCCACAGCUACUACUUCACCACCAGCUCCAGCAGCAGCUACUACUUCACCACCACCUCCAGCAGCAGCCACUGCUCCACCACCAGAAAACAAGGUUGUUGAGAGUUUCGAUGAGUUUGAUCCCCGUGCAUCUUUUUCAGGAGCAGGUAAAAUGACUCCCACUAGUGCCAGAAAAGCAAUUGCCAAAUUAGUGCUUAAUGUUUUAAGUUUAUUACUGGCACUAAGUAUUUUCAAAACUUUUGGUGGUAAUGAGGAGCUACUGCUUUUCCAUUUUGUGUUCAGUAACUGCGACUUUUUGUUCACAAUAUUAAAGGAAAUAAUUCUGGAGAAAAGUGGCUAAAUGUUCAGCCCUAAAUUCCUAAACAAGGAAAAUCUUGAAGGAAUUUUACUCUGUACUAGGGAACUUGGACAAAAAGAUUCCCUCUAGCCUUUCUUAUUCGUGAUUAAUAUGGAAGCUUAAGCAGACACAAUAUGAUAGGAUAGAAGCUGCAUAAAGGGGUUUAUAGUUGGCUAUAAUUCACUGCAGCAAAUUUUGAUAUCUCAGGUGCCUAUUUUGUGAUGACACUUGACUGUUUCUAUGAAGUGAGUGAAAAUUAUAUUUUGAAAUCCAAGCACACAAAUGAGGUUUUUUAUACACAAUGGGAUGUAUUAGUAGAGGUGAAGAGUCCCUUAAUAUCACAUUUUAGAACCUCAUUCUCUUCUAUCUGCUCUGCAAAUGUGGUACAUAUUGAUUACAGACUCCUUGUGACCAGAUUAAUCUUUAUCUAUUGAGCGUUGUUUACCAGGUGCUUCUCAAAUGGUUUAAGUGAUGAUCUGUUUAUCAUUGUAAUGCAAGAAAUUUUUCUUUUGUAUGAGCAGCAGCCCCAGCUCCAUCAAAUGGUCCUGUAUCAACUACUUCCGGCAGCGAAAUGGAUAUUCUUGGCUCCUUAGCUGAUCCGUUCUCCAACGCGUUAGCCCUUGUACCUGCAGGUUCGAGUGCCUCUGAGGUUAAUCCGUCUGGGACUACUGGCGCUGAGACCAUGUUUGGGGAAGCAUCAUCAGUGUCUACCGGCUCUAACCAGGUGGAUAAACCAAAAUCCACAGUGCAAGGACUUCUAAUGUCUUAACUAUAUGUGUUGUGUUGCAACAUUUACAAUUCUGCCCUUCUGCAAUUUACUUGCUGAAUGAAAUAUGUGCUUUUCUUACAGAUGUUCGAGGAUCCCUUUGGUGAUGGUCCUUUCAGGGCUGUGACCUCGAAUAACAAUGUGCAAACUCAUGUGCAGAACACUACUUCAUCUUUCCAUCCUAAUUCAAAUCAAAGCCCUGAGCUUCCUCAAUCAGUCCCUCAGGGUGCUGAGGUGUCAAGUGCAGCAUAUAGUCAGUUUGCUCCUACUAAUGUGCAAUAUGCUCAGCAGGAGCUGUCCACCUCCAACCAGGAGAUCGAUAUACUGGCUGAUAUCCUCCCACCAUCUGGUCCUUCACCUCCUAAUGAUCAUGCAAUCCCGAGUGUCCAACCUGCAACACAGACAGGUUUUGAGUCUUAUGGUGGACCAACUACACAACAGACAGGUUACAUGGCACCUCCUGGCCAGGCUGGGGCACUGACAGGUUUUGCAGCUCAACCUGGCCAACAGUCGCCACAAACUAGUUUCCCAAUUCAAGGUCAAACUGUAUCUCCAGUGGGCUUUUCUGGUCAAGCAAACAAUUCUCCAUCUUUUGGAGGUUAUCCAGCUCAACCUGGUCAAGCACCACAGACUGGUUUUGUACCCACAAGUGGUCAACCCACAUCAGGUUUCCACUCCGCACCAGGUUUCUAUCCACAGUCUGGUUAUCAGGUUCCUGCUGGCUCCUCUAUGCAGAGCAAUGCCAAUGCUGGAGGUUACAACACAGGAUUAGGAUCUACAGCUCCAUUUGGUAACCAAUUGGGUCAAACAUCUGCUGGACAACCCUACCUUUCACAGCCAACUGCUGCAUCCCACAUGCCUUCGCAAAUGCUUCAAUCUUCACAAACUCAGACAAGUAAUGCCCUAGUGCUGACACAAACUACUCCAGCUUCAACAGCUCUCGUUGGCACCCAACCCGCCAAAGACAAAUUCGAGACGAAGUCUACUGUUUGGGCAGAUACAUUGAGCCGUGGACUGGUCAAUUUGAACAUUUCUGGAUGUAGGUGUUUUCUUUUGUAAUCUAUGCAAAUAUCUUUUCUUUUCCCCUCUUUAUGACGUUGCAAUUUUUGUUUAUGCAGCUAAAACAAAUCCAUUAGCUGAUAUUGGAGUUGAUUUUGAUGCUAUUAAUCGCAAGGAGAAAAGGAUGGAGAAACCCAGUACAGCACCCGUGAUAUCAACUAUUAACAUGGGCAAAGCAAUGGGCUCAGGUAGCGGAGUUGGCCGAGCUGGUGCAGGUUCACUACGGCCUCCAUCAAACCCAAUGGUAAGUUCCGGUAUGGGCAUGGGCAUGGGUGGUAUGGGUAUGGCUGGUGGUGGCCCUGCAGGGGGUCCUGGCAUGGGAGCAUAUGGAGGAGCAAACCAGCCUUAUGGCAUGGGGAUGAAUAGACCCAUGGGAAUGAACAUGGGUCAAGGAUUUCAGGGUCAAGGAUAUCAGAUGCAACAGCCUUCUGGAUUUCCUCAAGGACCUGGAGCUCCUAUGCAGGGAGGUUACAAUCCCCGGAUGGGCAUGGGUCCCUAUGGCCAACAACCAUAUGGUGGAGGAUACCAAUAAAAUUUAGCCCAAUUCUGAAAGUAAGAAACCUUUGUGUCAUAAUAUCCGGAAUGUUUUCUAGUCGGUAAGCCUAUUGAACUCACCCUCUGUUGUAGAGUUGAUACUUUCUUGGGUGUGUUUAGUUUUGCAGGAUAAAAGUUAUAGGAGAGUACAUGUUGGUUCCUUCUUCAAUGUUGUUCUGCGAUUGCAUUACCAUCUGGGGUCAAACAUUGCUUGCAAGACCCUUCAUAAUGUUUUUUCUGUUGUGCCUUUGUAUAAACUCGAGGAUCACCUGUCUCCGGUGUUCCUCUUUUUGCCACUUGAUCCAUAUAUACACGUGUAGAAUUUUUUGAACUCGCGAUCAUUGAAAUUGUACACCUACUUUUGCUGAACUUAUGUAUUUGACUAUUCUUCGGUAAUUUGUAAGCUUCACAAUUUUCCUUUUGUUGAUACUCUUCAAUGGUUAAACAUCAUGUGCAAGUCAAUUUCUUUCCUUGUGAUUGUGAAUAAUUGAAGGUUACCCACUUUAUCAUUUAUGUGGGAGAGUAGUGGGCCUUUACCACAUAAUGAGGUCUCAGAGAUAGAUUCGCUCGGAAGGGCUACUGUAUCAUACCUUUUAAAUUAAUGCUACUCUGAUAGUCACAAUGCAUUAUAAUUAAAUUCCCUUUUGCACGUAUUAUUGCGGGUAAAAUUAUCAUUGUAUUUCUUCUUCAUUGGAAACAACUUCGAUUCUUACCCCAAACCCAUAAACACUUUUAUAUGUUGCCAAAAUUGAAAAGAUAGGCAUUAGACUUCGAUCCAUAUAUCUGAUACAUAUUUAUAAUAUUAUUCUUUUUGGAUUGUUGUAUGUGUUAUUUUAUAAUACAUCAUAUUGUAAUGUUUGGCAGAUUGUAUUAUUUCAUGUCGUUACAUAAUCUCAUACGUUAAUAAUUUGAAAGAUAGGACACAUAUAGAGCUACAAUAAAAAAAAUAAGAGAGAAUUAUUAAAUACUAGGUAAAGGUAAAAUGAGAAAAUAUAUAAGGUAAUAAGCGAUACCACAAAAUGAGUGGUUACCUUACCGUGAAAUCAAAUCAUGUUAUACAAUAUAUUUUAAUACAAUUAAAACAAAACAAACAUGAUAUGUAUACUGUCCUACAUAUUGCAUUCCCUUCAAAUAUCUAUAUCUAUAUUAUCCUACAACAAAAGGCAACUACCAGUUACUCCAAUACUCUUCAGCCCUGCACCAAAAGUAAUAUAUAUUCUCAAGUAAAGUGGAGGAAUUUAGGCCAUGAGGUAAUUACAUAUAGUCAUUCUUCCAAACUCCCAACUCUAGUACUCAUAGAGAAGCUGGACAACAGUCUUCCUUGGCAUAUAUGACAGUAAUUAUAUUGUUUCUGUCCUCCAAUUCUUGUAAGAUACUAGUUAUUAAUAGCCCGGGCAAGGCCCGGACCCAACAAAUGUUUUUUUAAAAAUUUAUUUCUAUUAUUGUGAUUUAUAAUAUUUUUAAAAAAUAUAUAAUAGAUUUUUUUUAUAGAUAUUUUAAGCUGUUAAUUAUUGUAAUUUAUAAUAUUUUUUAAUGUAAUUUUCAAAUAAUAUAUAUCGCUCUCGUUAUCCAAAUUUUUGUGGCAUUAAUAGUCAAUCACAUUUUUUUAAAUAAUUUAAGUUUUAAAUUAUUGUGAUGUAUAAUAUUUUUUUUCUAUUUCAAUUUAAGUGUCAUAAUGCUUAGAUAAACAUAAUAAUUAAUUAUGAAUGAUAUGGUAAAGUUACGAUUGAAGCAGCGAAGCAGAUAUGUCUUAAUGACUCACAACAACUAAUUAGAAGUGAUAUAACAAGAUUACUAUAAAAAAUAUUUGUAAUUUUUUUUGAUUAACUUAUCAUUUUAUAGCUAUUUUACUUUUUUUUUUAUCAAAUAUUAUUAAUUAAUACAAUGCUCAAAUAGUCAUAAUAAUUAGGGGAAAUGAUAGAAACGACACUUCAAAUUAAACUAUUUUCAUGAAAAUGACCAUGAAAUUUAAAUUUCACUUUCUAGCUAUUUCAAUUUACUGACUUGUUCUAUACCGUUUCUACACACCUUCUAUUCAAUUUCUAUACAUAUCUUAUACAUAUAAAUAUUCUAUAUGAAAAUUUUACAGUUUUGACACACAAUUUAUACAAUAACUGUACAUUAUUCUUACACAUUUUAUACAACAAUUAUAUAAUUUUCACACUUUCUAUAUAUUUUUUAUAUAUAUUUUAUACAUAUACAAAUUUGAUAGAACUAUACAAUUUCUAUACAUAUAUUUUAUAUAGAUACAUAUUCUAUUUAACAAUUAUAUCAUAUAAUUUCUAUACAUAUAUCUUAUAUAGAUACAUAUUCUAUUUAACAGUUAUAUUAUUUUUAUAUAAUUUAAUUAUUAUUUCUAAACAAUUAAAAAAAUAGAAUAUUUGAUCAGUUAAAAAAUUUAUAGCAAAAAAUAAAAUAAAAUAUUUUUAAAAGGGUCGAAUUGCCCAAGCUGAAUACUGUAUCAGUAUUGUAUAUAGACUGUAUCAGUAUUGUAUGUAAACUGUAUAUGGACUACGUAGACCAAAAUGACCCAAAUUAGAAAAUGACUAUAAAACGGAAAUAGGGCCACUUUUUGAAAAAUUUUUAAACUUGGGCAAUUUGUUUUAAAAAGUGUUAUAGAGUAUUCUUUUCCCUAAUAAUUAAUUAGGAGUGACAUAGUAAAAUCAAGAUUGAAACAACGAAACAGCUAUGUUUAAUUAGAAGUGAUACAACAAAAUUACUAUAAAAAAUACUUGCGAAAAAAAUUAAAUGGGUCUCAUAUAAAACAUCAAGUAAAUUUAACAUUAAAUAUUAUUAAUUUUUUAAUACUUAGAUGAAUUUAUAAUAAUUUUUUAAUAUUUAAAUGAUUUAUAAUAAUUAAUUAUGGGUGAUAGAGUCAAAUUAUGGGCGAAACAACUGAAGCAAAAAUGUCAAAAAUAUCUAUUUUAAUUUUUUAUUAAAUAUUAUUAAUUUUCUAAUAUAUAAAUAACUUAUACUAAUUAAGUAGAGAUGAUAUAAUAAAAAAUUACGGAGGAAGUAACUUAUGAAGCAGGCAGGAGAAGCAGGCAUGUUGGCGGGGACCUGCCUGCUUCUCUGUAACACCCCGAUUUUCUGAACCGAAAUGCUACACGGUGCUUAUGACCCCGAAGGACCACAAGCUAAUCCAUGACUGAUAUCUGUACCUGUACACUGCAUAAUAUACUUGUAAAAUGCGAAAAACAUGAACAAUAGGCCAUAAGGUUCAACUGAAUAAAGAAACUGUCAAAACAUGACAUCCAUGUGGGUAACAAGUACCCAAAAUAACUAAAAUCUGAAUCAAAUCUGAACUAAAUCUGAAAACCUCUAAGUAUUGUCUGAAUAAGGAGUUGAAGGAACAUGUCUCCAACUAACUCCGUAAACUGAAAGCUAACUUAAAUAAUAAAUGGAUAAAUCAAGUAAUAUCGUCCUCUAAUGAAGAGGACUCACUGCAACUCUGUGUGCUGAAUGCGAAUGCUACUGCUGGUUUGGAACUCGUGUCCCUGAACCUACGGUGUAACAUGAAAAGAAAGCACCAUAACGCAAAUGCGUCAGUACAACUGGAGUACUGAGUAUACGAGUGAGGUAGGCUAAUGCAAAGGGUUUACAAGCAUGAAUAAUUCUAACUAACUGACUGAUAUGAACGUAAGAGUGUAAAUAUACAUACAUAGUAACUGAGAUCGUGAAUACGUGAUAGCUAAAUCUGUACGCUAAUACAUGGCUUAAACUGUAGUUCUGAUAGCAUGAGGGACUGUAUCUGACAGUCCUGAAUCUGAUAGAACUGUAUGAUUUCUAUACUAUAACUGAGAUUUGACUGUAUAUAACAGUCUUGGUGUACGGAUAUCUGAAGAACAGUAUGAGUUCUUUUACUGAGACUGAGUCUGAAACUGUGGGAAGUAGUUGUUUAACGGACAUGCCCCAAUAACACAUAUAGCUAGGUUGGGGUCCAAUCUCUGCCCCGACUGGAGAGGUGUUAAUACCACGCCACUAGUAAGGACAGUUGUGAGUGACCCUUAUCUGGCAGGUACUCAAGGUGAGAACGGUGGGACCCUAAACUGACGGGUUAAGCCACCCCAUCAACCCUAAUCUGACGGGGUAAGAUGUCUCAACCUACGCUGGCUACGUAGUUCUGAAACACGAGGAUGACUGCUAAGAAUCACACCCUAAACUGGUAGGUGAGUUCCCAUCCUUGGGUUCACUCGGUGCUAACUUCUACUCUCAUCUGAAGAGACUGAACAUGAUUUAACUGACUUUACAUCGACUGAAUCACUGACAUCCAUUGACUGACGAAAUAGUACUAUUGUUUGAGAGUUAACUGAGAUCAUGAGUUUUCUUGAGGUUUCCUGAGUCACAUGACUGACUGAGUUCUAUGGAUUGUAGCUUGACUGGGAUGAUUGUGACAACAUGACAUGACUCUAGGCACACAACUAUGUUUUUCAGGUACGAAUACCCCAGGACUCGAUGGAAGGAAACUGACACACAUGACAUGACUUGAUCACAAGAUUUGAGUCCACAAUUCAUAAUAUCGUACAUAAGAAAUUUCAUACUAAGCAUGGUUAUCAACUAUGUAUUACAUAGAAAGGAUUUCAUGUCACAUGGAAGUACUUGCACAACCUUAAUAUCAUGUUCAUUUCAUAAUCAUACUAGCAACACAUAUAAAUAGCAUGGAAGUUCAUGUGGAAUCAGCUUAAGAGUUUACAUAGCUUGUCAUUUAAAUACUAUGGGGUCAUGGGAACAUGAUUUUUAGCAUUCUAGGCAUUUUAACAAACAUCUUUCAUGCACACUUUGGGGCAUAGGAUUUCUCAACAACUUUAAUCAUUUUGAACCACCCAAUUCAUGAGUUUUAUCUGCAAGCAUGCAUACAUCAUGGAAAUCAACUUAAAUUAAUAUUCUGAAGCUUACACAAUGAUCAUUAACAUGAACAACAUCACGUAGCAACAAGGAAAUCAAAGUUUCUCAUUUAAAAUCAUGGUUCUUGAACUCUAUGAACGAAAGGGGUCCAUAGAUGAACACUACACAUACCUGACUCAAGGUUCUUGAUGUUUUUGAACUGGAAGGAUUUGAAAUCCUUUGAUUCUUGAAGAAGAUUGAGUCUUGGUCUUGAAGAUUUAAUUUAGAGAGAAAUCCUAGUUUUUGUUUGUGAAAUAAUAAUGAGAGUAAUGGUUGAAUUCGAACUUAUCUAGGUAUAUAUAUAGGCGGGUGAUAAGUACCAAAAUAUCCCUAUUAAAACGACCUGGAAAUAAACUGAACGUGAUGUGUGAUGGUCCAUCUGACGGUUCGUCAGACUCUUGGUGGACCGUCAUUUAGCCCGUCAGGCGUGACCCAGAAAUUGGAUUCACUGGAUAAGGGUUGACGGCUUGGCUGAGUGUCCGUCACAACUUUGACGGUCUAUCAACUCGUCUGUUAGUCCUUAUCCAGAACAUGGCUUAACUAACUUGGGUGUGACGGUCAAGGUGGUGGUCCGUCACUUUUGUGGUGUUCCGUCAACUUGGCCGUCAGGCCUUAUCCAGAAUGGGAUCCUUCAGCCUUGGCUGUGACAGUCCAAGUGGUGGUCCGUCACUAAUUUGGCGGUCCACCAACUGAGCCGUCGCACCUGGGCGAUUUCGACAGUUCUGAGUAAAAUGUCCAUAACUUCUUCGUCUGAUGUCGGAUUUGGACGAAAUUAGUAUCGUUGGAAAGCUAACUCAAUUUUUCACGUGAUAAAAAGUGAAAAUCUCAAAAACACUACGUGUAAAAAGAUAGAUUUGUAUUUCAAAGUAAGUCCUAACAUUCUUGAGACGAUUUCUAGCUAGGAAAAGGUACGGGUAUUACAUUCUCCUUGCCAUUCCCUCUUAUUAGAGAGUAAUUUUACAUUUUUAUUACUCCCUCUGUUCCAUUUUAUGUGUCAUCAUUUCCUUUUUAGUCCAUCCCAAAAAGAGUGUCAUGUUUCCUUAUUUGGUAAAUAUUUAAAAAUACAAUUACACUUUUACCCUUAUUGGGCCCACUUAAUUAAAAAAAAAAUAGUAGCAUAUUUUUUGAUAAAGGACAAUUUGGUAAAUAUUAUCAAGUCUUUUCUUAUUUCUUAAACUCCGUGCCCGGUCAAAUGGCGACACAUAAAAUGGGACGGAGGGAGUAUAUAUUAUUAAUUUUCUAAUACAUAAAUAACUUAUAAUAAUUAACUAGAGAUGACAUAAUAAAAUCACAAAGAAAGCAAUUUAUGAAAUAAGCAGGAGAAGCAGACAUAUUGACGGAGAUAAUUGAAGCAGUUGAAGUAGAAAUGUCAUAAAUGCCUAUUUUACUUUUUUUUAUUAAAUACUAUUAAUUUUUAAUAUGUGAAUAACAUAUUAUAAUUAAUUAGGGGUGAUAUAAUAAAAUCAAGUACUAAUUAAAAGUGAUAUAGCAAAAUUACUAUAAAAAUAUUUGUAAUUUUUUUUUAAGUGGACGUCAUAUAAGUCGUCAAGUUCAUUUAAAAUAUCAAUAGUUAAUUUAUCAUUUCAUAUUAUUUUUUACCUUUUCUAUCAAAUAUUAUUAUUUUUUAAUACUCAGAUGACACAUAAUAAUUAAUUAAGAGCGAUAUUUAAUGAAGCUACGAUUGAAGCAGCUGAAGCAAACACGUCAUAAAUGUUUAUUUUACUUUUUUAUUAAAUAUUAUUAAUUUUUAAUUACACAAAUGACCUAUAAUAAUUAAUUAGAGGUGAUAUAGUAAAAUCACGGAACAAGCAGCUGAAGAAGAAGCAGGCAUGUUGACGGAGAGCUAUAUGUUUCUCCUGCCCUUUAGUUAAUUUAUCAUUUCAUAUUAAUUUUUACCUUUCUAUCAAAUAUUGUUAUUUUUUAAUACUCAGAUGACACAUAAUAAUUAAUUUAGAGCGAUAUUUAAUGAAGCUACGAUUGAAGCAGUUGAAGCAAACACGUUAUAAAUGUCUAUAUUACUUUUUUAUUAAAUAUUUUUUUUAAUAUAUAAAUAAUUUAUAAUAAUUAAUUAGAGGUGAUAUAAUAAAAUCACGGAACAAGCAGCUGAAGAAGAAGCAAGCAUGUUGACGGAGAGCUGCCUGCUUCUCUUGCCCUUUCCCUCUUAUUAAAGAAUAAUAAUGCAUAAAGAUGUCCUUUAACUUGGCCUUAGCUGAUAUCGAUGCCCUCUGAUUUUCUCUGUGGCAUACUAUGUGUCUUACGUAAUACAAAACAGUCCGAGUGUAUCUCAGGCGAACUGCCAUGUCGGAUACAUGCGUCUACUUGUUUAACUUUAUAAAGUGUUAAUGCCUACUUUUCCACACCCAAAAUUGAAGAACGUAAAUGCUAGCCGAACCCAAGUAAAGGUCACGUUUAUGUAUUACGCUGGCCUGCCUUCUCAUAAACCUUCACAACCAUUUGAACAAUGAACUCUCUAUUGUAUAUAUAUGAAGACUUUUCUACAUAAUAAAUUAUGUCCUUAUCUUUUUUAAGAGUUUAUGGUCACAAAACACAAAUUUCAGUUUUUCCUUUUUCUAACUGAACUAUCAUCGUAUCAGCUGUUCUCUUUAUCUACCUGAGCUUUCACCAUCUAUUCGCAUGUUGCAUAGUUCAGGUAAAAAUUCAUGUGUAUCUGUACCAUUUUCACUGCAAAUGCAAUACUUGUACCAUUAAUGAAAAAAUCACUAUUCGGAAUGAUACAUUCUGAUUGUACAAUUCGAAAUGAUACAAAAUUAUACAUUCUGAUUGUAUAUAUAUUUUUUAAAAUAUAUAAAGUAUAAUUCUGAUUUUAUACACAUAAUUCUUCAAGCUUUUAGAAUCACCAACCCUUCAAAUAUUUUACGAAAUAUGCAAAACAAUUUACUAUAACUAAUAUUUUUUGUAGCAUGUUUGCGAAGGGAGGAAGACAAAACCGUAAAAAGAACAAAGUUCAUCUUUUAUUGAUUUGGUGCAUGAAGCACAUGAAGAUACACAAAACAAGUUGUUAUAACUAAUGGAAAAUGAAUAAAUUAAAGCCUUUGAAAUAUCAAAAGUCAGAUACACCUCAAAGAACCAUACUAACAAAUUAUUUUCUUCCUAUGAAUAAUGAAUUGAGCUGUUGAAGCCACUUCCACCAAGAAGAUACAAUGAUAACAAUGUGCAAGAUGACCCCAAGAGAAGAAGACACAAAUUGCUUCAUGCCAAUUAUGUAUGAGAAGGAGUUAAUAGGUUAUGGAGAAUGGCUAAGCUCCUUUAAGAACUUAGUAGUGGGUGGGAGGUGGUGGAGAGGCAUAAAUGUAUACUGGUGGAGGGGGGGAUUUAACGGGUGGUGGAGGUGAGCUGUAGUAGUAUGGAGGAGGAGGAGAUUUUACUGGUGGGGGUGGAGAGUGGUAGUAGUAGGGAGGUGGAGGAGAAGGUGAUGGUGGAGGAGGUGACUUAUAGUAGUAGGGUGGAGGUGGUGACGGGGAUGGUGGAGGAGGAGACUUGUAGUAGUAGGGUGGUGGAGGAGAUGGCGAUGGUGGUGGUUGUGACUUGUAGUAGUAUGGUGGAGGGGGAGAAGGCGAUGGAGGAGGAGGAGACUUAUAGUAGUAUGGUGGAGGGGGAGACGGCGAUGGUGGGGGUGGAGACUUGUAGUAGUAUGGAGGUGGAGGAGAUGGCAAUGGCGGCGGUGGAGACUUGUAGUAGUAUGGUGGAGGGGGAGAAGGCGAUGGUGGGGGUGGAGACUUGUAGUAGUAUGGUGGAGGGGGAGAAGGCGAUGGUGGUGGAGGAGACUUAUAGUAGUAAGGAGGAGGGGGUGAGGGUGAUGGUGGUGGUGGGGACUUGUAGUAGUAAGGUGGGGGUGGUGAUGGGGAUGGAGGAGGAGAAGAUUUGUAAUAGUAAGGAGGCGGUGGUGAUGGUGAAGGGGGUGGUGGUGAUUUAUAAUAGUAUACAGGAUCAAGCUUUGGUGAUGGUGGAGGUGGAGACUUGUAAUAAUAAGGUGGUGGUGGAGAUGGCGAUGGUGGUGGCGGUGACUUAUAGUAGUAUGGCGGAGGGGGAGAAGGCGAUGGUGGUGGAGGAGACUUGUAGUAAUAAGAAGUUGGUGGAGACUUAGUUGGUGGUGGUGGUGAUUUGUAAUAGUAUGUAGGCGGGGGUGGAGACUUGUAAACAUAUGUCGGGGUUGGAGGAGGUGGAGAUUUGUAAUAGUAUGGAGCGGGCGUAGGCUUGGGCUUUUGGCAUUCUGCAUAAGGUGUCUUGGAGCCAUAAGCAAAUGGUUUCGCGUAGAGUACAACUUCAUAACUAUUCUUCGAUUUCACUUUGAGGUCAGCACCCUUAAUUCCCCAAUGAAGGUUUGUAGGAAUGCUACACUUUGAGUCCUUUGGAGCAUUGUGGAGUUUAGCCUUGCAAGUCUUUGCUCCAUAUUUGCGAUAUUCAAAUCCUUCAACUGUGAUUCUGAAUUUGCCAUUGUUCUUAGUGGUACCAUAACUCACUAUUUUCUUGUCACCAGCCUUGCAAGUUACCUCAACAACAGCACCUAAUUCAUAGAAAGAAGGAAUAAUGCUCAAUUAAUAUCAAGAGGACACUUCUAAUGAAUAGUAGACCGUAAAGAAUAAAAGAUUUGAAAAAAGUUAGUUAAAGAGAUGGCAAGGUGUAAAGUAUAUAUUUUUACCUUUGAGGUGUUUCUUAGCGUGAGAUUUUUGUGGGUAUUUCUUAUCAUAGCAUCUAAAACAGUAAACUUUUCCAACAACCUUGACCACAAAGUGAUGAUGUGGAGGAUAAUAGUGAGUAGGUGGUGGUGGGGAAGUGUAGUAAUAUGGAGGAGGAGAUGAUUUCUUUGGUGGUGGUGGUGAAGUGUAGUAAUAUGGUGAUGGAGGAGAUUUCUUGGGUGGUGGAGGAGAGCUAUAGUAGUAUGGUGGAGGUGGUGACUUAACUGGUGGUGGUGGAGAAGUGUAGUGAUAUGGUGGAGGAGGUGAUUUCUUGGGUGGUGGAGGAGAGUUGUAGUAGUAUGGUGGAGGAGGUGACUUAACCGGCGGUGGUGGAGAAGUGUAGUGAUAUGGUGGAGGAGGUGAUUUCUUGGGUGGUGGAGGAGAGUUGUAGUAGUAUGGUGGAGGAGGUGACUUAACCGGCGGUGAUGGAUAAGUGUAGUAGUAGUAUGGUGGAGGAGGUGACUUAACCGGCGGUGAUGGAUAAGUGUAGUGAUAUGGUGGAGGAGGUGAUUUCUUGGGUGGUGGAGGAGAGCUAUAGUAGUAUGGUGGAGGAGGUGACUUAACCGGCGGUGGUGGAGAAGUGUAGUGAUACGGUGGAGGAGGUGAUUUCUUUGGUGGUGGAGGAGAGCUAUAGUAGUAUGGUGGGGGAGGUGACUUAGCCGGCGGUGGUGGAGAGUUGUAGUAGUAAGGUAGAGGAGGAGACUUCUUUGGGGGUGGUGGAGAGGUGUAGUGAUACGGUGGAGGGGGUGAUUUCUUUGGUGGUGGUGGCGAGGAGUAAUAGUAUGGUGGAGGAGGUGACUUCUUGGGUGGGGGUGGAGAGCUGUAGUGGUAAGGUGGAGGUGGUGACGACUUAGGGGGAGGUGGAGAUUUAUAGUAGUAAGGUGGUGGAGGUGAUGGUGAUGGUGGUGGAGGAGAUUUAUAGUAGUAUGGUGGCGGUGGUGAAGGUGAUGGUGGAGGAGGAGACUUGUAGUAAUACACUGGAGGUGGUGACGGUGAUGGUGGAGGAGGUGAUUUGUAGUAGUAAGUUGGCGGAGCAGAGGGCGAUGGAGGUGGUGGAGACUUAUAUACAUAUGGUGGUGGCGGAGAUGGUGAAGGAGGAGGUGGUGAUUUGUACACAUAAGGUGGUGGGGGAGAAGGCAAAGGAGGUGGUGGUGACUUGUACUCGUACGUCGGAGGAGGUGGAGAAGAAUAUACAUAAGGGUCUGCAGACACUACAUUUGCAACAACCAAUAUGGCCAAUGCCACUACGAUCUCUGGCAAACGACGACCUCUAGUGGGGCCGCCACCGUUAAACUUCAUCUUCGCCGGAAAACACCACCACCAACCCCUCAAAUAUAGCUACAAUAAUCUCAAAAAACUUGGAAGUGUCACAAAGAAAAAAUAGGAGAAAAGGCUUGGUGUUUUAGUUAAGUGAUUGAAUGUCCAAAGUAUUUAUAGUAACAUUUGAUGAGAACUACUAGCUGGUAUAGAGUUGUCAACAAGUGACCAAUUCAAUUAAUCUGAUUGUUAAUCAAAGAUUAAAAAUAUUAAGAACUCUAAACAGCUAGAUUAAUUUUUUCUUUUUAAAUUCCAUUACUGAAUCACUUUGAAUUAUUCAUUCAUACUUCUUUAACAAGUACUUAGAAACAUCUCAUAACAAGUGAGUGCUUAAUUUAAAAUUAUUUCCACUUCUAUUGCACUUUUGAACUCUUUGUUUUGUCUCAAAGAGUGAGAUCUCACAAUUAUUUGUGGUAUUCUAUCAUAAAAUAAAUCAAUUCAUUAUGUGGCAUUUUCUUAAAUAAUUAUCUUUGCAAAUAAUUAUUCACAGAAACAAUCUUUUGCAUAAAUACAAAGUAAGACUACUUAAAAUAAUCUUUAUUGUUUAGCCAUUCCUCGAGCCCCAUAUAUAAAGGGAGUCUUAUGCACUAAACUGCCCUUUUUAUCUUUUGCAUAGCAUUAUGAAAUAUGUGAAAUGGAUGAGAUAUUCUUUUAUCUAUAACAGAGGUUCUGAGUUCGAAUCUUAAGAAUAAAGAAAUUACUGAUAAAUAGUUUUCCCCUUUUAACGGCCCUUAUGCAUCGUGAACUAGAAUUAGUUGAGUCGAUAAAUUCCUAAUACAAAUGAUUGCUUAUAAUGAAAAGACAUAAAUAUCAUCAUAAUAUAGAAUACAAAUUAUUUUAUAAAUUGUGAACUAGAAGCUUAAUUUAGAAUACAAACAUUUCCUUUGAGAUUGAAAUGUUUCAACAAUUACAAAUGGAACUCUCAAUGCUACAAAAAGAUUGAUAAUUAUAUCUUUAUAGUAAAUUCCAGAAUUAUUGAAAAUUAUAUACUGUCAUUUCCGUUAAUACCAUGUACCAAAAUCGAAUGGAAAAUAAAAAAUUACCUGAUCAUAUUUGUUUUGUUUAUUACACAUUUCUGACUUGUAAGGGGAUGUAAUUAAUAAGAAUAUUCCUGUCAUUUUGUUUAAUGACAAAUAAUAAUUAUUCUGACAUAUACUAAUUUAAAAUUACAAGCCGACAAAAAUUCAAUUAUUUCCUUACUUGACUUUAAUCCUUGUAAUAAUUGAUCGAAUAAAUUAGUGAUUGAUUAGUUUUUCAACAUAUAUAAAGUUCACAUAUUUUGUAAAUAUGUUAUGCUUUUCAUAUAUUUCAUUGCAAUAAUAUUUGAAAAUGCAUGUGAAUUCUCAAUGAUGAGAUCAACUACAAGUGUGAGGCAAUACUUAUAAUUUUUUUGCAGCUUUUUAUUGGUUCAAUAUUGUUGAGCAAAUAGCAUGGAACAAAUGAGAAAUGGCAUUUUAUACUUUUAGGGUACAUUAUGAUGGACAAUUUUAUAUGAUUUUUUUUAUUUUUUUUUUUAAUGUUUGGUUGGAUGAAAAUCUGCAAAAAGAGAAAAUGCUUUUCUCAAUUUUAGUCGAUAGUCAUUUUCCUUCACAACUAUAUGAAACAUGAUUUUCCCACCUUAUUUCAACUGAGUCAGUUCACUAAGAAUAACUAUGGUGGAAAAUAAAUUCUCACUGAAAUGCUGAAAAGCUUUCUAAUUUUGUUUUCGUGAAAAUGUGACUAUUUCUUUUUCUCUCACCGAUUUAAUCAAAAUAUCUACGAAUACAAUCGUUAACCAUUUUUUGAUGUUAAAGCUGUCGAUCGAUUUUCGGAUCAAACUGUAGUCGGGAUCCAAGCCUACCCCUAGAAUUGUGGGAUAACACCCACCGAAUUGGUUCGAAAAUUGCUCGUUCACGCCGUUUCACCCGUUUGACCACCCAAAUGGCCCCGCCGGGCCACCCUUACCUGCUCUACAAUCCAUCGGGGGGCCGACGGUCAAUUUUCAGCCCAAACUGCGCUCGCGCCCAAAGCCCACCUCGAGAAUAGUGGGCUAACACCCACUGAAUUGGCCCAAAUGCGGUUGUUUAGCCUGUUUGAUCACCUAAAUGUUAACACCCAUCGAUUUGGCCCGAAAAUGGACCGUUCAUGCCCUUUCGCCCGUUUGACCACCUAAAUGGCCACGCUAACCCCGCUAGUCCAUCCUCACCCACUCCACACCCCGCUGAGGGACUGUCGGUCAAUUUUUGUCCUAAACCACGCCCGAGCCUUAAGUCGACCCCGAGAACCGUGGGCUAACACGAAUCGAAUUGACACAAAAAUGUCUCAUUCGCGUCGUUUGAUCACCCAAAUGGUAACUCCCAUCAGUUUAACCCAAAAAAGACCCAUUCGCAUCGUUUCACUCAUUUGACCACCCAAAUGGCCCCACCAUCCCUGCUAGCCAACCCUCACCCGCUCCACAGCCCGCUGUGGGGAUGUUAGUUGAGUUUUAGCCCAAACCACAGUUGGACCCUAGGCCUACCCGCUAGAACAGUGGGCCAACACUUACCGAUUUGGCCCGAAAAUGAUCCAUUUGCACUGUUUCACCAGUUUGCCCACCCAAAUGGACUCGUAAACCCUAUCGAACCAUCCUCACCCGCUUGACGCUUGGGCCCACCCCUCGAACAGUGGGGUAACACUCACUAAAAAUCGCAAAAAACCCACGAUUCCAGCCAUUUCGCCUGUUUGACUUGAAAAAUAGCUCUACUAGCGUCGCUAAACCAACCAGAUCCACUCAAUAGACCAUCGAGAUACCACACAAUGAUUUUUGCCCAAAAUCAGGCUUGGGGCCUGGGCCCACACCCUAACUGUGGGUUAAUACCCAUUGAAAGUCGUAAAAAAGUCGUUAUUCUUGCCGUUUUGCCCUUUUAACUUUGAAAUAACUCCACCGACCCCGCUGAACCAACCAUAUUCACUCAAUAGGUCAUCGGGGGACCGCCUGAUACGGAACAAACAAGGGAACACGAAAUCAUACUCCAAAACAGCCCACAAAUCACAACAAAUCGUGGACCAAAUGGGGACCUCUCUCGGAUUCACUAUCUAGAACAAGAAAGAAGAGGAUACAAGGUGUUAAUACACCAAAACAGCAAGCCAACAACAAGUUUAACAACACAAGAUGAAGCUCCACAAUAUUACAAUAUCAACAAGAACAAACGGGUUACAUUAACAACACAAGAAGCCAAAACUAAAACAAGAUACAAGAUAGGUAGUUAGACAAGUGUUGAUGUAGUCUUAACAACCCAAGAGCAUAUUCCACUCUUGAACCUUUAAAACUUCACACAACAAACACCUAACUCUUACAAUUGACACAAGAGAGGCGUCCACCACCCAAGCACCAACGUAUCAAGCAAAAUGCAACACACAAGAGAAUCCACCCUUAUGUUAUGCCCUAGUUUCAAUUGGACUCUCUCUCACUCUAAUAGAAGUAUUCUUCAAUAAUAAUGAUCAACUAAAGAAAUAAACCCUACAAUGUUCUAUUUAUACUACAUUACAAUAAUAGACAAAAUGACAAAAGGGCCCUUUAGUGACUAGUCUUAAAAAAUACUCA